rnacentral:tRNA from 1 species
AUCUUUAUAGUAUACAAAAAUACACUUCAUUUUCAUUGAAGAAAUGAAAUUUUAUUUUCUUAAGAUA